UAGCGUGUAGCUACGGCUAGAUAGAGCCUGAGCUCAGUAGUCGUAGCUAGGUAGAGAUUGAUCGAGGGGUGACGGGUGAGUAGGCAUCGAGAACGUGCCUAGUAGUGGGGGAUAACUACUCGAAAGAGUAGCUAAUACCGCAUGAGAUCUACGGAUGAAAGCAGGGGACCUUCGGGCCUUGUGCUACUAGAGCGGCUGAUGGCAGAUUAGGUAGUUGGUGGGGUAAAGGCUUACCAAGCCUGCGAUCUGUAGCUGGUCUGAGAGGACGACCAGCCACACUGGGACUGAGACACGGCCCAGACUCCUACGGGAGGCAGCAGUGGGGAAUUUUGGACAAUGGGCGAAAGCCUGAUCCAGCAAUGCCGCGUGCAGGAUGAAGGCCCUCGGGUUGUAAACUGCUUUUGUACGGAACGAAAAGCCUGGGGCUAAUAUCCCCGGGUCAUGACGGUACCGUAAGAAUAAGCACCGGCUAACUACGUGCCAGCAGCCGCGGUAAUACGUAGGGUGCAAGCGUUAAUCGGAAUUACUGGGCGUAAAGCGUGCGCAGGCGGUUUUGUAAGACAGUGGUGAAAUCCCCGGGCUCAACCUGGGAACUGCCAUUGUGACUGCAAGGCUAGAGUGCGGCAGAGGGGGAUGGAAUUCCGCGUGUAGCAGUGAAAUGCGUAGAUAUGCGGAGGAACACCGAUGGCGAAGGCAAUCCCCUGGGCCUGCACUGACGCUCAUGCACGAAAGCGUGGGGAGCAAACAGGGAUUAGAUACCCUGGUAGUCCACGCCCUAAACGAUGUCAACUGGUUGUGGGUCUUAACUGACUCAGUAACGAAGCUAACGCGUGAAGUUGACCGCCUGGGGAGUACGGCCGCAAGGUUGAAACUCAAAGGAAUU
rnacentral:rRNA from 1 species